UGCUCUAUUCUCAAGAAAACGUUACUGGAGGAACCAACUAUGUGGUCAAAGUGUUGCUUGGUGUUCAAGAGGAUGGACUGUGUGUUCAUGCAAAGAUAUUUCAGACUGCUGAUGAAGGGUCACUGAAACUUAUUAAUGUCCAAAUUCCUAAAUCCUUCCUAAAUCCACUGAUCCCCUUCUGAACACUUACACUACAGAAGGAAUAUGUCUUGAUCUGAUUACAGACACAGCCGUCAUGCUGUAAAGAGGAACAAAUGAAAUAAUAAAAUUUCUCAAAUAUUAAACUCCAAA